rnacentral:lncRNA from 1 species
AGUUCAAAAUUGAGGCCGUUUUGUGAACCACUAUCAUAGAUUAUUAAUCAAGUAGAUGUCCCACUAGGAAUUUGCUCCAUAUACCCAGUUGGCGACACCCCUUUAGCGCUCCGAGCGCCACCACAGUCAAGUUACAGGGUUUCCAUGAUACCAACGGAGGUGGUGGCUGUUUGUGGCGGUGAGUGAGUUGCAACAAACGAUUUUCGAGAGGCGUAAACAGGGACUCUGCCGGGAACCGAUGGUCCGUUAAUGUGAAGUCUGCACCAGCAAACUGGUUGCGCCAAUUCAUGGGAUUCGCGUCGUUGAAAUGUUGAUGUUCGAUAUAAAGGACCAGGAGUUGAUAGCGAAAAUGGCGAUUGACAAGGCCGCCACAGCAGUUCCCACCCCAUGUGUCGUGUCCCAAACAACUUGAAUGCAACCAGCCCCGUUCCUGGCAGAGUACCUCAGGCCCAAAUAAAAGAGAAGUCGCACAAAGUUCAGUUAUAAUAAAUAAUACGCACAAAGUUCAGAAUAAUCAAAAAAAUAGAUUUUUAUUUUAUUCCCAAGAAUUUUACAUUGCAUAGUAUACAUUUAAACCAAUUGUGUUACACACAACUAGCAGUAUUGGAACAUGACGCUGAUUUACUAUCGUUUCGAACCAAUUCAAAACAUAGUUUCAAGAUGCACUAUUUUACGAGAUCAGAUGCAAAAGACGAACAUUUCCGGUCAGGUUCGCCGUCGCACCUGUAGUUGAACACCGAAAUCUGUUUUUUUUUUGUACAGGUGCCAGAUGAUUUGGGUAAUCACAGCACUGAGCAAAAAUCCCACGGUUUAUCGAAGUGUUCUACACAUGAUCUGACCCUGCUGUACAGAGCACUCAAAUAUCAAUCGCAAAACACUUGAAUUUUGGGCACCAAAAUAUACUGUCAAUUCAAUAGCAAAACACUUGAAUUUGACGUGUUGCGUCACAUGAAAUACAAUAUUAUAUUUAUUGGUUUUAAAUAGCUUUUCUUUCUAUAAUCAAUGCAUGUUUGCAUGUAAAAGAAAUGGAUUUCGAUUU